rnacentral:rRNA from 1 species
CCCGCUGAACUUAAGCAUAUCAAUAAGCGGAGGAAAAGAAACUAACAAGGAUUCCCCUAGUAACUGCGAGUGAAGCGGGAAGAGCUCAAAUUUAAAAUCUGGCGUGCCUCUGGUCGUCCGAGUUGUAGUCUGGAGAAGCGUUUUCCGUGUUGGACCGUGUAUAAGUCUCUUGGAACAGGGCGUCAUAGAGGGUGAGAAUCCCGUCUUUGACACGGACUACCAAUGCUUUGUGAUGCGCUCUCAAAGAGUCGAGUUGUUUGGGAAUGCAGCUCAAAAUGGGUGGUAAAUUCCAUCUAAAGCUAAAUAUAGGCGAGAGACCGAUAGCGAACAAGUACCGUGAGGGAAAGAUGAAAAGCACUUUGGAAAGAGAGUUAAACAGUACGUGAAAUUGCUGAAAGGGAAACGCUUGAAGUCAGUCACGUCUGCCAGGACUCAGCCUUGCUUCUGCUUGGUGUACUUUCUGGUUUGAUGGGCCAACAUCAAUUUUGACCGUUGGAGAAAGGCUGUGGGAAUGUGGCACCUUCUGGUGUGUUAUAGCCCAUGGUUGUAUACAGCGGUUGGGAUUGAGGACUGCAGCACGCCUUUAUGGCCGGGGUUUUGCCCCACGUUACGUGCUUAGGAUGUUGGCAUAAUGGCUUUAAGCGACCCGUCUUGAAACACGG